rnacentral:rRNA from 1 species
UUAAAUUGAAGAGUUUGAUCAUGGCUCAGAUUGAACGCUGGCGGCAGGCCUAACACAUGCAAGUCGAACGGUAACAGGAAACAGCUUGCUGUUUCGCUGACGAGUGGCGGACGGGUGAGUAAUGUCUGGGAAACUGCCUGAUGGAGGGGGAUAACUACUGGAAACGGUAGCUAAUACCGCAUAAUGUCGCAAGACCAAAGAGGGGGACCUUCGGGCCUCUUGCC